AGCUGGCAGGAUUGGAGAAGGUCGUGUAUGUUGUCGGUGCUUAUUAAAACGAUGAUGCAUAAAAUCCCCCCAAGUUGUCAGAAAGCAUGAGCACACGGAGUAGGUAUUCUCUCCCUCUGCCUUUUGUAAAAAAAAAAAAAACCAGUGGCUGUGGACGAGGCUUUGCAAAAUUCACCCAUGAUCAACACCUGCAUGCGCGGUAAUAGCGACAGACUUCAAAGCUUGCACAUCUGCAAUACCCAAGGAGGCAAUCCGUUCUCCCCAGAAAGAUACCUAUGGCAUGUAUGCUACAGCUAUAGCACUACGCAAGAAGACCAGCACCUCAUUUUGAACAAACAAAACACUUUAUGGGUUUAUAGUCGGUGUCAAGGAUUGAGUGGCUUUUUUUUCUUUUUUUGGAUACACGCGUAAAAGUGAAGCAUUACGCAAUGGUGGAAAUACACAGAGAGUGCAGCAGGAGGGAAGGGAAUUGCCAUCCAGCCUUAUCUCCAGUUCCAGUCAACUAGAGGCCCUGAAAGAGUGUGCACCAUCAUCAGAGCUGGCCAUUUGAUAGGAUUCUGGCACUGCACCUAAUCAAUCUGUGGCAUAGAGCUGCCAGAAGACCUGUAACAAAGCUCAAAGAGCCUCACAAAUGGCCUAGUGCAGGGGAUAAGCCCCUGCACAGGAUUACAUAUUGAUUUUGAAUGUAUAAAAAAAAAAAAAUACUUAUCAUACAAAACCCGAGACGGACUACAAAAGUAGGCAGUAGUCUGUGCAUGAAUCCCCCCUUUAAGAGCAGGAACGUCAACUUUCAAAUAUGGAGACCCCGAGCAUGAACCAAAACCUAAAAAAAAAUGGCAAGAGAAAUCAAAGGCCAGGGUUGAGGUGUGGUAGCAGUGCAUUGUUGCAGGGAAUCACUACAGCUCCACUUUGCUUUUUGAGGCGAAGGGUCAAUAUGGUUGCUACACAUAUUACUCAAAUGAAAACGUGCAUACUUGCUACGUCUCAGCCGCUCCAUCUGGAUGUAGUGUACGAUACUCGACAGACAGUUGCCCCCCUUGAAGCAGGGCAGUGUAAACACUAUUGUCUUGUUGAGCCUACAGUAUGAAUGGUACUAGCAGAGCAAUUUUUUUUGAAACGGCUGAAAUGUACAAGCAUUUUCAUAAUAUAUUUAGACUAGUUUUAUUGAGUUUUUACCUGAAAUUGCAGUAAUAGCCUGUUACAUUCGGAAAUUGUUGCAGUAGCUGCUGGCUGCACUGAGCCACGUAAAACUAUGGAAGCCCAUCCCCACCACCAAAAACACGUCAAAUGCAGAGAUCAUACAAAUAUAUAUAUUUUUUUCUUCAUUUGUAACAUUGUGUGAUGAUUUCAGAGGUGGCACCACAAGUCCCAGAGUGGUUGGGGGGGUUGGGGGGGGGAUUGCUUUCCUGGGGCUCAGAGUUUUUCCUAAUCUGGUAGUAGGCUAGCCUAACCAACUCCGGACCCUAGUUGUUGCGUAUGACACUGUAAUAAAUCAGCAGUAAAAAAAAAAACAUUUUUUAAUGGGUUUUAUACAGGCUAUGAUGGGACCAGAUAACUUUUCUAAUCAUAUGGUUUAAAAAUAUAUAAUACUAAUCCUGGGAAAACUCCUGCUCCUAGGGAGGAUGAAAACAUUAAAACCCUUCACACAGACAAAAGAGAACAACUGCAAUUGGCCCAAAACGAACAAAAAACGAACAGGGCUGAGUUCGCUGUAUGCAGGGUUGCAUGGUAUAGACCUUUGCAUCUGUAAUUAAAAAGAUACUCAUACAUUAUGUCAUCACUAUUUGGUUGAUUGAUUAAUUCCAGUCAAUGAUUUUGGAUUAAAAAGGCCAAGGCAGCCUAGCCCCCUGAAGUGUGAAUAUAAAAAACGACAUUUGAUCACAUUUACAUUUGCUCAGAACACAAAUAAAUGGGACUAUUUUAGGCUCUAAGUAAAUAGCUUAAGCUAUUAAAAACAUGACGCUAUGUUUCCCCUGGCCCAGAUGGGAUCAGAGCGCAUAGGCUUCUCUUGGCUACCUGCAGCUGUGGUUGUUAUCAGUAGGCUACAGUUGAUCAGACUGAAGCACAGACUAAUUGUGCACGUUGACAAAUCAUAAGGGAAAUUGUAUUACAUUUUUGGGGUGGCGGUCAUGGGCUUCCAUAUAAAACAGCUUGUUGGGGUGAAUUCACAUAUACCCACGUUUUCAGUCGCAAUUUGCUUUUACCACAUGUAAUGAUUUGCAUGAUAUUGAUCAAAAUGAAGCCUGGCUUGUUGUAAUAUUGUAAGGCAGGCCUACUGUCCUUUUAUAUUUGUAUGAGAGGGUUCAUCGUCAAUUCUUGAUAGGCUAACGUUACUUGAUGAAGACAUGCUGUUAUAGCAACUGUGCUAUUGUCUUGAAACUAAAAUGUAACGAGUGGAGCCUACAGAUAUGAAAAUAAACCCUUUAAUUGUCUGCACAUA